UCAAAGCAUACAAAAGUGCAUUUCGUAAAAUACUUCUGUUUAGAGUGUCACACACAGACUAGGCUCAGCAUGUGAUGUCGCUCUGAAUAAAGGGUGUUUGUCAAACGCUGUAAAUUAUGUGCCUCUGGACGUCGUUCAAGGAGGUAUUCGUAUCAGCAUGUGACGUCAGACUGGCGUGUAGGAGACUGUCGCAUGAACCACACCAGAUUUAAUUGAGAUAUGCGAGUCCGUGUUUGUCAUUAGAUAGCAAGGAUACAUAUAGUCUUUUGUGAAAUGCUGAGAAGUGGGGGAAAAAAACAUAUGUGAAUGCUUAUAAACCAUGUAAACUCUCAGUGAAAGUAGUGAAGUGUUAUAACUCGUCUGCAUUUAGCAUUAUGAACUAUUUUAUGUAGAACCAAAUAUAUAGGCAAAAAUCAAAUACUGUUUAAAAAUGCAACUCAGUCGUACCUCACCUACUGAUAUAUACAGGGGUUGGAAAAAUAAUUUGAACACCGAUGAAAUAUGUAAUUUCUCUUACUUUAAUUAUUAAUAAGAUCCUGGACUACCAUUUGCAUUUAAUACAGCUUCCAGCCUUCUUGGAAUAGAUUCAUACAACUUCUGAAUAUCUUCUAAUGGAAUUGUGUACCAUUCAUCUAGCAGAAUAUCUUCUGGUUGCUACAGAGAGAUUGGAGCAGGGAACCUGUUUCUCACAAUUCUCUCUAAAAUGUCCUACAUUGGUUCAAUGAUAUUCAAGUCAGGAUUGAGCUGGCCAGGGCAGAUGUUGAAGUUCAUACUGGUGCUCCUCAAACCAAAUUGUUUUGGCUCUGUGUAUGGGCGCAUUACCAUUUUUGAAAAAUGGCGUCAUUGUUUGGAAACAAUAUUUGGAUGCACCUGAUCACUUAGGAUUUCCAAAUACUUGCUGGCAGUAACACUACAGUGUAGGAUAAUGAUGGGGACUGCAGCCUAGAUAUGGUUGACCAAAUCUUCUUAGUCCAACUCCCAUGUUUGACAGCUGGAACCAGACAGUCCAAGUUGUAUGCUUCCUUUGGGGUUCUCCAUAAAUAAACUGGACCUGCUGUGGUGAAUAAGAGUUUGACAUAGACUUCCAAGAAAUUGAAAAAAUAGAAAAAUCAUACCAGCACUGUCCAAUUAACUGCCAAGAGCCAAAUAGUGCUCUCAGUACUGCAAAGAGCCAAGAAUCUGAAUGCCAAUGUUUCAUCUUUCCCCAUACAAAGAACUGCACUUACCAAGUAAUUGAAAAUGGACUACGCAAACUAAACUUGGUUUGCAAUAGUUCUGACACACGGACACACAGAACAUGUCGAAUCCUUGAAAGAGUAAAGAAUCUUGUGAGCACUAACCAGACACUGUGUGGGACCCCAGUAUCUCCACGCCACAUUUUUAAUUACAUUAGAACUGUGCAUCAAAAAUCUAAUAGUAUGUCUACUUCAUAAUAAUGAAAAUUCUAGGUUAAUUAGAAAUCAUAAAAAAUAGUCUUAUUUACUACUUUUUUUUCUUUAUUUAUUUAAUAAUGUAGACAUAGACAAGCAUUUUGGUUUCCAGCCAAUGUUUAACAGUGAUACUAUUUAUGGAAGUGAUUUCCUAGUUCUUGACCAUGUGUUUGAUUUCCACUCUUUACAUUUCAUUAUUUGAUCUUAUUUGAAAUUGCAGCAGACAUUAUAAUAUUAUUUAAAUAAAUACCCAUGCUUCUGUAGACAUCUAAUCUUUAUAAUAUUUAUAUUUAAUUAUCUUGUUGAUUGUAUUGAUUGCAUGAUCAUUGCUUUAAUUUUAUGUAAUAAAAUGUUAGUUAAUGUAUAGUUUUUCUUAAAACUUCAUGCAUUUUUUUUGUGAUUUUAUGCUUUAAUUUAUUGUUCAUUUGAAAAUUGUCAAGAGGUUGUAGAAAUAUUAGAUGUAACAUUAUAGGUUUCCAGUCAUGUUAAAUUCUGAUUCUACUGUGUUCUGUUGUGUAAGAAGCCUCUGACUGGAUCAGGUAAAUUGGGUCAUCAUGAACUUUCAAACCUGAACUUCUGGUGUAGAUUCUUAAUCUACAAUAAAAUUAUCCUAAUGAUUAACAUUCUUAUUCAUGAUCCGUUAACACAAAAGAACACCAAAAAUCAGGAUUACAAGACAAGAACAAAGAAUGAACACUCAGAAUCAACAAUGAAAAAAGAGCUGAAAUAAAAAGGAUUAAUCAAGGCAAGAACUGAAUACAGGUGAGAGUAAUAAUGACACACUAGUGUGUCAAAGACAAGACAGGGGCAGAGACAAAAUAUGAACCAAAACAAAAUGUACACUGCUGCAGCAUGUGCUGAUAAUAGGAAUACAUGCUGCAUAAGUCAGCACCCUGGGUAAAAUGUCCACAAUUUGCUCCCAGUGUAGGCACUGCCCAAAAAGAAUGUACUUGCAGGGCCAGGAAUCGGAGGGCCACUCUCUUUGUCGGACUAAUGGCAGACCAUGCCAAUAUAUUCACUGGAAUCAGGAGAUGGAACAGUGAUGUCCUUGCCACAAGGUAAAUAGGAGUGGUCAUGAAAGGCCUUGCUGGCCUCUGGGUUAGGUGUGUAUUUUUGGUCCCAGCCUUGAGCAUGGUUUGACACUCUUGUGCUUGGGCUUGACUUGGGAGGCUGCCUAUUCAGGCUUGACUUGAGAAUGUCUUGGGAGGCUACCUUGUUUCCCUUGGCCAUGGGCU